UUGUAUACUUAUAUUGAAUCUCUCUCUUACUGUUAAAAUCAUAUAUCGUGAUCAGAAGAAGCAAUACAAAUAUACUUUUCUUUUUUUGUCUUUUAUGUAUUGCCAACAAAAAUAAUAGAUACAUACGUGUUUCAAAUUGUCAAAUCGCGAUCGUGAAAUCAAAGUGUGCAUGCAUCAUGGCGUAUCUAUAAUAAUUAUACCGAGUGAUUCAAAAUUCAAUGAAAAUAGUAGAUGAAAAACGGUGAAUGUAGAAAAUGAUGAAUAGAAAAAGAAAGAAAUUGAAUAAAAGAAAAUAGAAAGGAGAAAAAAAUAUAGAUACAAAAGAAGAGAGAGAGUGAAUCUUCUCAUUCAAAAAUAUAAAGAAUAGCACGGGAUACAAAAAAAAGUGAUUAGUGCCAAUUAUUUUUUGAAUAUUACUUUUCAAUAUUGUGUUGCAUAUAUUGUGUUGAUCCAAUCAUACGGAUGCGUUAAUUAAUAUAAUAAAUGUGACAGUGACCAUCAUUAAUAGCUGUGGAAUAUCACGACACAUUUCACCUUUCUAUCCGUUUUCAUUUCUAUAUAUAACUCACUUAACCUGUAGAUUUAUGGAUAUUUGCUUCGCGGAAUUCUAUAACUACAGAUUUUCCUAUUAGUUUCUUUCUAGUUUUAUUUCUAAUUUCUCUUUCUCUUUGCAAUUAUAUGCAGUAUCCUUUCUUCUAUUCUUAUAGAAUUUUAAGAUAUGGAAUUGAUAUAAUUAAUAUUUUUUAUAAAUUUUAAUUUAUUAUCAUCAUUAUAAUUGAUGUUUUUUUUUAAUAUACACAGAGAAGAUUAAAUGUUAUUACAUAAUCCUUCAUUAUAUAUCAAGAUUUAAAUUACAAAUUUAAAUUAAGUGCAAUCUUUUAUAAAAAAAAAAACUAUAAAAAACUAACAUGAUAUAUUAUUAUGUUAUGCAUGAUUAAUAUAAAAUUAUUACAUAAUAGGUUGUCGUAGUCAUAAAUUACAUUAAAAAGAUAUUAUUGAAUUGAAGUCAUCACAAAUUUUGUGUAUGAUAUUAACGAAAAUUAUAUUGAAUACGUAAUGAAUAUGUUCCUUUCAAAAAAAUUGUAUGGUCUUUGAUUAACAAAAUAUGAUCGAAAACAAUCUAUAACGUCCGAGAAAAUAUGAAGUGUUUAAUAGUAAACUACGCUACAAAUUAAUUUAAUAUAUGAUUAUUUUAUUCCUAUAUAUAUAAUAAAACUAACUUUAUAUUUUAUUUUAAAAAACAUUUAACGUUAUUUAACGCACAAACACUGUUGCGAAAAAUAAUAGGUUAUUUUUUUGUAAAACCAAGGUGUGUAGAUUUCAGAUUUUACGGCAGCUGAACGUGACUAGAAAGAGCGCUACGGCCAAUUUAAUAGCAUUCAUGCGAGAAUUGACACUUGACACGUGGUGCCGUUUGACCGAAGGUCGAUCGUUAUUCAGGAUUAAGCAUGCGCGUGAAAACAGCGCCAAAAUCACUGAACUCGCCUAACCAACCGUUGUUUUCAUAUUCUCUAAAACAUUGUUUAUAAUAACUUCGCUUUUUUUCAUUAGUUUACAACCUUCGAGAAUAUUUAUCUGAAAUUCUACAAUAAUGCAUGACGAUAGUAUAAAAGAGAAACAAAAUUAAAAAACCAGUAAAGGAAUUUUGAAGAUAAUCACUUGCAGCCAAUCGGUCAUUGACCUUUGCCUUGCAACGUAUGUAAAUAUAAUAUACGUUUUGCACGCUAGAUGUCGCUCAUUAUGCGUUUUAAAUGGCAAUCUCAAGAAAUUAUAAAUUACAUUUAUGGAUUAAAAUCAAAACAAUAAAUAUUAUGUAGAGCUUGCAUUCGACAAGAAAGAUUUUUUGCUCGUUCCGCCUCUUUAUCUUUAUUACUUACUCAUUAUCACUAUAUUUUAUUUAGUUUCAGACUUAUUCCGUCUUUUUACUACGCAUCGAACUAAUGUGAUAUUUUCUGCCAAUAGGGAAAAUAUGUGUGACAAGGUCAUUUUAAGUAAGAGUAAGACACAACGUUCCAACCAAUUAGACCUACAUUCCUUUCCAGUGCAAACUCUUGAGUUUCAAUAUAUUUUUAGAUGUUUCACUACAUCUUCUUGAUUAGAAUUAGAAUCAGAAUCGUACUAUUAUUGAUGCUAUGUUAAUCACGAUCACAUUUUAAUAUUCCGACUUUUUCUAUGAACGACGUAAAAGAUUCAACAAGUAAAUGAAUAUCAAUAUUUAAGAUAUAUUGUUGUUCAUCCUUUAGAUCAAUAAGAAUCGAUAUGACAGGCCCAAUCGACAGGCCCACAGGUCACAGUUUCUUUUCACGAGAUGUAAAAGGAGACGAUCUUGUAUUAGUAACUGUAAGCGACUUCACCUUCCAUCAGCAGGGGGCAACAAGCCUGUCAGACAACGAUGCGGACACGACAAUAAUAACACAAGACGGAGAACACGCGAGAAAUGGACAUAGAAAAUUUCUAUAUAUAUAGUAUAUAUUGGUAAUAUUCUUGACUCGAAGAAAAUACAGAAUACUAGUUUAAAUAAAUCUGUGCUUGUCAACACCGCAAUUUUUAAUUCCUGUACCAUUUUUUAUGAAUAAGCAUAAAUAAUGAUACCAUAUUAGAUGACUGGAAAGAUAAAUUCGAGUUGAAUUACCGAAAAAUUAAAAAAAUAAAUAAAAUAAAACUAUAUGAUCAAAAUCUAGAGAAAUCAAACUCGAAUUUACAAUCUUACAUUUUUACAUUUAAUUGAUUCAUUCAUGUUGUUAACAUAAAUUUAAAUAUCGUAAUAACAAAC